rnacentral:rRNA from 1 species
GUCCACGCCGUAAACGAUGUCGACUAGCCGUUGGUCCUAUUUACAGGAUUAGUGGCGCAGCUAACGCAUUAAGUCGACCGCCUGGGGAGUACGGCCGCAAGGUUAAAACUCAAAUGAAUUGACGGGGGCCCGCACAAGCGGUGGAGCAUGUGGUUUAAUUCGAUGCAACGCGAAGAACCUUACCUACCCUUGACAUCCAGAGAAUCUGUUAGAGAUAGUGGAGUGCCUUCGGGAACUCUGAGACAGGUGCUGCAUGGCUGUCGU